CUGCUCAGGGUUAAGGAUCUGAUGUUGCCAUGAGCUGUGGUGUAGGUCACAGAUGUGGCUCAGAUCCUGUGUUGUUGUGGCUGUGGCUGUGGCUGGCAGCUGUAGCUCCAAUUCCACCCCUAGCCUGGGAACCUCCAUAUGCUGCUGGUGCAGUCUUUAAAAAAAAAAAAAAAAAGCAAUUAAAAAAAAAAAUCACCCAAACCAAAAUCAAAACCCCAAAACCUGACCUAAAAAGCCAUAAAAUGUGUGGUAGAGGGUUCACCUGAGCCUAAGGUGGGACUCUGGCACCAUGGGCUUCUGACCUGCACUGUCAGGUGAGCUGGGGGAGAAGGAUGAGGGAGCCGGGCACCGUGAAUGUGACCCUUGGUUUCUUCGUCUGUACAGAUGGUGGUUGCCUUGCCUCCCUCCCUCUAACACCGUGAGAUCAAAUGAGAUAAGCAUUAGGUGGUGACAGCAUUGGAAGAAGUAGCUGUGAAUCAGGGAUUGAUUGAUUGAUUGAUUGAUUUGUCUUUUAGGGCCACACCCGUGGCAUAUGGAGAUUCCCAGGCUAGGGGUCAAAUCAGAGGUGCAGCUGUCGGCUUACACCACUGCCACAGCAAGGUGGGAUCUGAGCCAAGCCUGCGACCCACACCACAGCUCAUGACAACGCUGGAUCCUUAACCCAAUGAGCGAGGCCAAGGAUCGAACCUGCAUCCUCAUGAAUGCUAGUGGGUUUGUUAACCCCUGAGCCACGACCGGAACUCCGAAUCAGGGAUUUAUUAUUAUCCUCAUUGAUUCAGAUGAUCUGCCCCAUGCGAGGAAAGCUCCGGAUGCAGGGCUACACGGGUCUCCCUAAAAUAGGCCUUCUUUUCCAGGGCAGGAGUCCCCCAUCAUCCAAAGAUGCAUCUCACCCUCUGCUUUUUCUCUCUGAUUGCUCCAGCUCCGAAGCCCUCUGAAGUGCAUGGCUUCUUCCUUGCUGCAACCGCUUCCUGACCCUCCCCUGUGGCUUCCCAUCCAGGCUCCCCAACACUCAGACCAGCACCGUCCUCCACUGCCAAAGCCAAGGCCACCAGAGCUGGUAUUGGGAGAAAAGGUUGCCCAUGAUGUACUGGGAGCCUGGUCAGUGAUUCAGAAGCAGAGGGAUGCAAGAGAGAGCUUUGGAGGUCAGCCAACAGAUCCCUCAAAACACAGAUGCUCCAUUCUUCUUUAGUCUAUGGGGCAGCCCCUUCUGAAUCUGCAGAUCACGGAAUGUUACUAGGCAAGCCAUGGGUGCCCCGCUCUCCUCUCCGGGGUUUAGGAGUGAGGGCUCCCAAGCUUGCUGGACACAAGGUCUGUAUCCAAGAUUCAGGUGAAUUUUUAUAUACUAGAAACAAAUUAGCAGAAAUAAAAAUUGGGGAGAGGUAAGAAGGGAUUGGGAG
rnacentral:lncRNA from 1 species